GCCGACUUAGCUCAGUUGGUAGAGCAGUUGAUUUGUAAUCAUCAGGUCGGGGGUUCGAUUCCUCCAGUCGGCACCA
rnacentral:tRNA from 1 species